rnacentral:rRNA from 1 species
GUGCCAGCAGCCGCGGUAAUACGUAGGUGGCAAGCGUUAUCCGGAAUUAUUGGGCGUAAAGCGCGCGUAGGCGGUUUCUUAAGUCUGAUGUGAAAGCCCACGGCUCAACCGUGGAGGGUCAUUGGAAACUGGGAAACUUGAGUGCAGAAGAGGAGAGUGGAAUUCCAUGUGUAGCGGUGAAAUGCGCAGAGAUAUGGAGGAACACCAGUGGCGAAGGCGGCUCUCUGGUCUGUAACUGACGCUGAUGUGCGAAAGCGUGGGGAUCAAACAGGAUUAGAUACCCUGGUAGUCC